rnacentral:rRNA from 1 species
CAUACUAAACGAUGAUAUUAUGUGUGAAAAGAAGUCAUGGCUAAUACAUGUGCCAGCAGCGCGGUAAUACAUGAGUGACUAGCGUUAUUCGCCGUUGCUUGGGCGUAUAGGAUGCGUAGGCGGUUAUAGUUUUGUUAACUACUAGAUCCAUUGGUGAAAUUUUAACGAUAACUAUAUACUAGAGUUGGCAGGAAGUUAUUCAAUUCCGUUAAGAAGCGAUGAAAUGCUACUAUUUACCGGGGUUGGCCUAUAUUUGAAAAAAAAUAGCUACUGCCCACUGACGCUGAGGCAUGAAAGUGGGGGAAAUCAUCAGGAUUUGAGACCCUGUUAGUCCUCACAGAAAAAGAUGGGUGUUAAAAGCUUACGCUAAACACCCCGCCUGGGGAGUAUAGUUGCAAAACCGAAAUUUAACAGAAUUGGCGGGG